CCAAAUUGACCAGACCACCAGUCUGUCACUCGCUUCUCACUGCUGCCAACCGCUGGUCGCCGGUCUUGCCAACUCUCGCCGCCCUCUGCAGUGAGGGCCCUCCAGGCCUCCACGCCAGGUGCCGGGUGUUGGCUGCUGGUGCUUCUCCUUCUCUCACUGCUUCUCCGCUCACGCUGCAUGCUGCCGUGCAGUGGACCGCUGAUGCUGCCGCCGGCUAGUAAACUAAACAGUGAACUGUUGUUGAAGCGUCGAAGGAGCAAGACUGCUGCAAGAGCAAAGGUAUUUUUUCAAAUUAAUUAAAGGAAAAGGAUUCAAUGAUGUUCUUCAUAGACUUGCGUAAUGUUUUGAUUGCCAUGUAAUUUUUUAAGUUAUGUAUUGUGUGCCAAAUCUCGAUAGCCUAACCAUCUAUGAUUUUUGUGCUAUGUACAUCAGUAAUGAAGUACAAUUUCAGAUCCAUCAUUCAUUCAUGCUUUUCGGGCUAUGCUUUUUUAGUAGUAUCGGACAGUCAGCCGUCUUCUGAUUCAGAAAAGAGGUGACAGUGAUUUUGAAUUUUUGGCUCAGGUAACAACCAUGGUCUAGGAGAGCAUAUCUGUAGUUAUUGGUUGUAGGCAUCUUUUGGUCAGUCCGGUGUGUUCUACAGUUGUGGCUAUGGAGCACUUUUGGCCAGUUCGGUGUAUUCUACAGUUGUGGUUAUGGAGCACUGGAUAACAGUAGUAAUUAUCCACAAGACCAGGUAUGUUGGUGUUCCAUUCUCAUAAUUACAGAUAACACUAUAUUUGCUAGGUUAAUUAAGUAAGGUACAUACCCUUGCCUUGAGGCGGAAGGGAGUGGGGUGGGUACAACAUCGAUAACAUGUGAGGUGGCGAUGAGCCCGGCCAGAUGGCUCAUCGUUCCACGGUAGAAGAACAACGGAGCAGGCGCAAAGAAUCUUCAGCAAUAACAGAAAACAAAAAUUACAAUUUUUCAGCUAGACAACACACCAGAACUAUCUCAAUCAUGAACUGACAUCUAAAACACCAGAAACUGAAGAACGUUAUAGCAGCACAAAUCUUCAUCUUCAUAAGAAAAUCAAUCUUAAAUUAGGCAAGGGCAUUGAUAUGCAAAUUUGAGAUAGAAAAAUGUUUAUUUUCCUAGGUAAUAACUCGCAACUGGUCUACGAAUACACUGAAUAAAAAGAUAUGUAGAUUAAACAUGAUAUCCUACUGAUAGAAACGAAUGGAGUUUUGUUCUUGGUUGAAAUCUGCAAGGAGGUACUCCCUCCGUCCGAAAAUACUUGUCAUCAAAAUAGAUAAAAAGGGAUGUAUCUAGAACGAAAAUACAUCUAAAUACAUCCCCUUUUAUUCAUUUUGAUGACAAGUAUUUCCGAACGGAGGGAGUAGUACCUAAAGGCUAAAGGACUCCUCAGCUAGAGGCCACACAAGUAAAGGUAGCCCCUGACAAAGAGCUCAUGCUCUUGUAUAUCUGUUCAGUUUGUGCACAACAUCAAAGCAAUUUGUAAGGUGAUCCUCUCGGGCCAUGUAGUAUGGUUUGCUUACAGUUUUAGCAAAGCUCUCAUAGAUGAUGAAUAAGCAUUAGGUUCUGGGGCAAAAAUGUCUUAAUAUAUAUUCUGAAUAAAUUGUAUCAAUUAAGUUAACUCCAUUAUGUAGGGAUGGAAAAUCAAGCAAAAUGCAGUAGAAAAUGUAUAUUUUACAUAAUUUAACAAGAGUUUCCACAUUUGCCUUCAGAGGCUUGAAAUUACUAAACAAAUCAGAGGAAAAAAUGGGAAGAUCUACAUCGCUUAUUUUAGCAGAUCUAGAUUAUAAGGUGCAAAGGUAUGUUCCAGAGAAUAGCAGUCCUGAAGAACACAGAUGGCCCAAAAUCAAUUGCCUUUAGAGAACUCUUCUUAUUUGUGUGUAACUUGUCUAGUUUAAGGUCCUGAUGGAUGACACCAUUCCUAAUGGCACAUCUGUCAUAAUAUAUAAUAAAAAGAAUAUGUGUCAGAUGUCACAAAACAACCCAAUAUUGGAAGAAACACUUGUGGAACAAAAAUCUGGACUGAAGGUAACAAUCAAUGGUGGAACCCUAUGUAGUUUUCAAUGACAUGACAAAUUUACAUAAUUCUCGGAGAAGCAUGUAGCAUAUUUUGUAUCUCUGGAGUUCAACAUGGCAAUAUUUUGUAUCUACAAUACUUUGUUUCAUCAUGUGUUUUAAAGGUCAGGAACUACCCAUGGUUUGCUGGGGUAGUGAAGGCUGUGGUUUUUUCGAAGGUGGUCCAGGAUAUUCCUAUGAACUGAACAUUAAACAGAUUGGAAAUGAGAAAACACUUGCCACUGCUCGCUCCUGGCAUCGUCCACAACCCUUCCUCAGCUGAAAAGAAUGACAUAAACGUUCAAAAAAAUUUGAGCUCUAAACUCAGUGCAUUUAUUGAAAUCAGACCGCCAAACAUAAUAGCAAAUACAAAUAAAAGUCGAUGCGAGCUCCAGACCUACCGUCAAAAAGAUAUCAGAUAGCUAAUGAAAUUAAGGAUCAUUCUUCAACACAGAUCGGAAUUUUUUUAUUAUUGCUCCUUGAAUUCCUAACUCCUAAGCUCGAGAACGCUCAAAUGCUUCUAUAAAAGCUUUAGACCACCAAUAACAUCAUAAACCAUGUAUGUAGGCAUUGCUCGAAAAAAUCAGUAAAAUAAGCAAACAAAAUCUCAGUUAACCACCUUGUACACAAAACAAAGGACAUUUAAAUUCCGAAACCUGAAGAUAUGCUACAGGAGCACAGGUAUGUUUGAUAGAAACUAAUGUACAUGUAUAUGCAUGAUUACUAAAUAUGGCAAGCCUUAGUUUCGUUUGGAGGAAGUGGUUUGCUUAAGGUCAUUCAUCCUUCCCACUUUACUUAUACAAGUGUGACAACAAAACCAUUACAACACAAGGCAACAAUACAUAUUAUGUGGUAGCAGGAAUAGGAACUUGGGUGUAUUUUAGUUCAGAGAUAUAGAAGUGAUAAGUGAUCUAGUUUAGGGCACAUACUCCCUCCGUUUCUUUUUACUCCGCGUAUAAGUUUUGGUCAAAGUCAAACUACACAAAGUUUGACCAAAUUUAUAUUAAAACAUAUAAACAUCUACAAUACUCAAACUAUAUAAUAUGAAAAUACAUUUGAUGGUGAAUCUGAAAAUGUUGAUUUCAUAUUGUGAAUGUUGAUAUAUUUUUAAUAUAAAGCUAGUCAACUAUGCAAAGCUUGACUUUGACCAAACCUUAUAUGCAGACUAAAAAGAAAUGGAGGGAGUACCAACAAGUAGUUACAAGAGAAAACAUUUGUUCACAGUAAGUUAGUAACCCUAAAGGAUCUACCUACUCGGAGAAAUUCAUAAGAACAAAACUGCAUAUACAGUAAAACACAAUGAGCUUUGAAUCAAAGUAUAACUAUUUGAAAAUCUUUGGAGAAGAUCAAACAAUACAUCCUUGCAUCACUACUCGGGGUCACUAACGGAGGCGCCAAUUCCUUCGAGCAGGGGAAAGGGGAAUUGAAGGUGCCAAGCACAAGAACUGGAAGGGGGGGGAUGAAAACCUCAAACCCUACCAUUUGAAGAGCAGAGGAUAUAUAUUUAGGCACUCACAGAAAUAAUCACCGGAGGGCAUGUACAGAUACAAGUAGGUGGUGGCAUCGCCGUCUCAGCUUGGUUGUCCAAGCAACACAGAAUGUCCUGAUCACCACAGUUGCAAUUGAAAGUGUUUGCAACUCUACGAAUUAUAUAUAUAUGUAUAUAUAUAUAUAUAUAUCCAAGGAUUUAAUUAGGAGUUUAUUCUGCACAAUUUCUGAGAACACACACUCACAAGCAAUUCGUUGAGUAGACACCUUAGAAAUAAAAUUACAUUGUGAAGAAUACUAUUUAUCAAACAGGUGAAACAAACUAAUCAGGUGCAUCUUCGUGAGCAAAGAAAAAGGCAGACCAAAAUCUAUAGGAUAUGAGGCAGGCAGGCAGGCAGGCACUUCCAUCCCUAGAGGGGGCGUUGAGGGUCGGCGACCAUCACCUUGACGCUCGGCCCACGGGACUGCCAGGCAGGCAGGCAGGCAGGCAGGCAGGCACUUCCCAUCCCUAGAGGGGGCGUGGAGGGUCGGCGACCAUCACCUUGACGCUCGGCCCACGGGACUGCCAGGCAGGCAGGCAGGCAGGCAGGCAGGACAAACAAAAAUAAUACAUAGGGCACAACAAUGACAAGGCAUUUCUAGAUGCGAAAAUUGUAGUGCAAUUAGAUGAAAAAAUAUGAGCCGGACAUGAACACUCGGUAGGCUAAUUAACCAGAGGAAAGAAACGGCCACGACCUAAACUUUGAAUCUCACUUACGUCUCUAUUCCUCGCCCUUCUGCUACCUCACAUCCCAAUCCUUUUUCCCUUCCCUCUGUAUCUUGCCACACGACCAUGACGGAUUGCGGUUGUUCUUGGCCAAUCUCUACAAAAAUCAAUAAGCAGAGAAGCUGAACCAAUCUCUACAAAAACCAAAAGAAAAAAAUGUGCACACACAAGCACAUAUCAGCCAGUUCUAGCAUGCAUCCAUCCAUCAAAGCAUUAAGCCAUCAGCCAUCCAUUAGAGAAGUGAAAAAAGAAAGGAUUCAAACUUACACAUCAAUCCAUCUAAGCAUUAGGCCAAAGCCAGUGGGAGCGAAGUGCUCUGAUGAAUCCGCUUUGCACAACUCUGAUCCCCUCGCGCAUCUCGGCGGCGACGCAACCCCGGCCCCUUCACUUACCUCUACUGCGGCGCUAACCUGACCGCCUUUCUCUACCUUGUCCCUUCUCACGUCGCCCCCGAUCGACAUCCAGACAAAGGGCGCAUGCGGCUUGGCCCAAGCUGUGCGUGGCAGUGGAUCCACGGCGGCGGCGGCAGCGUCCUGGGGAUGCUAAUCCGUGACGGGCGAUGUAUCCUAGGCUAGGUGGGAGAGAUUGCUCUUACUUUACACAUUGAGAGAGACAGACACAAGGGCUUGAUUCGUUCCUCACAUGCAGGCUAGGCGGGAGGAUUAGAUAGCUGUUGUUGCUGUUUUUUCAAUCUCCCCUCAAGUCUUGUGUAGACUACUAGUGAGAUUUAAUCACACUGCGUAUAUAUGCUCAACCAAACAUGGCCAAUUCAAGCUGCCGUAGGAAAUAAUCUAAUCCAUGAUGGAUUAUGCGCCAGUUUAUCCUCAUCCUAGAUCCAUCACUACCACUAAUCGACACAUCAGCAAGCUGCAGUCUUGGUAGGGAGGGGAAAGGAAGGAGGAAGAGGCGUACCUUGGGCGUACAGGUCUGUAGCCCGACGAGAGGGAGAUGCUGCAGAUGUCGCCGGCGUCGAGGUCCACCGCGGCAGCAAGCACCCUCAUAUGCCUUACCCCAGCACCGAGAGCAGGGGUUGGAUCCCGAAGCUGACGGCUAGGCUUGGGUUCGUCGUCGGCCUACAGCCCGACGGGAGGGAGAUGCUGCAGAUGUCGCUGGCGUCGAGGUCCACCGCGGCAACAAGCACCCCCAUAUGCCUUGCCCAAGCACCGAGAGCAGGGGUUGGAUCCCGAUGCUGACGGCUAGGCUAGGGUUCGUCACCGACCUCCAUCCGGAUGCUGCGGAUGCGGAUCCGGCGGCGUUAUCGCCGUAAUAGAUUCGUGGCCAUCUCUGCCGCCCCAUCAUCCGGAUCCUCGGGAGAGGAUGAUCGGAUCGGAGGGUGGCGGCAGCGAGAUCGCACGAGAGGACGGCGGCUCUGUGUCGUCUAGGGGAUCGAUAGGUAUGGUUUUUUGGCUGCAUAGGUGGGAGGGGUGGUGGGGGGAGGGGGACGGAAAAAAACCGGAGGUGGGAGGAUGAUGAAAAAAACCCAGCGAAAAUAAACCGCGUAGACUAUUCACCAAGUCGUCCAUUAGGAGUAGAGAUCAUCAAUAUUAAUGAAGCAGGAAGUAGGGUUUUACCUCCAUUGAGAGGGCCCGAACCUGGGUAAACACAUGUGUCCCUUACUUCUUGCUACCAUCAGCCUUGACGCACAGAUCGGGACCCCCUAUCCGAGAUCCGCCGUUUUUGACACCGACAAUGCUCAUGAGGUUCAUCUGAUCUUGCCAAGUCCUGUUGUGUCAGCAGUGCUUCGGAAGUAGUGUUAGGUGUGAAGGCAGCUUGGGAACUGGCCAGUUCCGGAGCAAACGAACGAGUACCUGAUUGAGAUGCUGGUACAGUUGAAGCGGAUGUUGCAGCUGGUGGAGCAGGUGAUACUGUGUUUGUAGAUUUAGCCGGUGGACUUGGACCUUCUACUGCACUAUAAGUACCAGCAGAAUCCCGACGGCAGAACCUUUUCCGUUUCACCUGACGAGUAACAACACUCCCUACUAUAUUAUUUUCCUUGCUCUUUUUUGACUUUGCCAUGUCAAACUGUACCCACAACACAAAAGAAUAAAAUCACUCUUCAGAACUCAUUGAUGCAUGAUACAGACAAGCAAUACUUUGAUGGAAGACAACGGUAUGAGGAUGGAAUAUGUAAGAAAAACAGGAUGACAUGACAUAUUCACAGCUACGAUGUGCAAACUAAGCAGAAGGAUUUUAAAGAAAAUAGAAGUAAUGCAAGCUAGAUACCAUAUGAAAGAUGCAACCAAUAUUACUCUGCCAAGUUAAAAGUGUCUUGUCAUAAGUGGUAAUUCGAAAAAUUAGAAGCAGUACAAUGUAGAAAUCAAUGCAAGAUGCAACCACUAUCAAACUGCCAUGUUAAAAGCAUCCAAUCAUAAGUUACUGAUGCAGGAUACACAACAGCAGUACUUUGAUGUAAGAACAUGGUAUGAUAGAUAGAUGCAGUGUAUUCUAGACACAGAAAACCAUGUCAUAUGCACAUGUAUAACGUAUAAACUCAGCAGGUGCAAUUUAAUCAAAAUAGAAGAAAUACAGGCUAGACAACAUAUGCAACAUGAAACCAAUUAUCACACUGUCAACUUAGAGAAAGCACCUGCGAUGGUGGAGUGCGGGAGAUGAACUCAUCAUGUAGACUUGGGACUUCAACUUCAUUAGCAGUAGCAGUGGCGAAUCUAGAGUCUCUGUUUGCGUCGGUGUGGAGUACCACCAACAUCCCCUAACUUACUCUUUUCUUUCCUAUUUUCUGAUAUUGCCUUAUGAAGUCAAAACCACAAGAGGAUGAAUAAAAUUAGCUCUGCAUAACUGGCUGAUGCAUGAUACAGACGAACACUAUUUUGAUGUAAGGCAAGCGCAGGAUAGGAGGAUGGAAUGUAUACAAAAAAAGACAGUGUUUCAUAUUCACACGUACGAUAGAAGGAUGGAAUAUGUAUGAAAAAAUAGUAAGCGGAAGGCAUUUCAACAAAACUAGAAGAAAAUGAAAGCUAGGCAUCGUAUGAACAUGCAACCAAUAUCACUCUAUCAGGUAAAAAGUGUCUCGUCGUAAGUGCCAUUUCAAGAAAUUAGAAGCAGUACAAGCUAGAAGACAAUGCAAGAUGCAACCUACAUCACAGUCCCAAGUUAAAUGUGUCUUAUGGGUAAGUGAUUGUUGCAGGUAUAAGUUGUAAGCUAUGCAGAUGCAAUUCUACAUAAUCAGAAACAAUAUAAACUAGACAUCAUACGAAAAACGCAACCACGUAUAACAGUUCCAAGUAAGAGCAAGCACCUGUGAUGGUGGAGUAGGGGAGAUGUGCUCAUCAUGUACAUGUAUGUUCUAGAAACAGGAACACGUGUCAUAUUCACAGGCAUUAUGUGUAAAGUAAGAAGAUGCAAUUCAAGUUAUAAGCAAUACAAGCUAGACAUCAUGCGCAACAUGCAACCACAUAUAAUAGUGUCAAGUUAGAGCAAGCACCUGUGAUGGUGGAGUAGGGGAGAUGUGCUCAUCAUCUACACAGCUACGUUGACUGUCCAUCCUUGUGUUGUCUUGCGAAUCUUGUUGGGAGGAUGGCGGAGUAGAAUCUGUAGAGACCCCCUGUUUGAGUUGCUCCGAAGGACCACCAUCAUCCACUGCCGGACUAAUUUCCUUCAGCUAUAAUGAUAAGAAAAAGGAAUAAAAUUUGCUCUUCAGAACUCAUUCAUGCAUGAUACUGAUGAACACUACUCGGAUGAAAGACAAACACAUGAUGCGAGGAUGGAAUAUGUAUGAAAAACAUGAUGGUGUGACAUAUUCACACCUAUGAUGUGGUAACUAAGCAAAAGACAUUUCAACAAAUUAGAAGCACUGCAAGCUAGACACCAUAUGAAAGAUGCAACCAAUAUCACUCUGCCAAGUUCAAACUGUAUGGUGUUUCAACAAAUUAGAAGCAGUAUAUGCUAGAAAUCAUAUGCAAGACAUAACCAAUAUCACAGUGGCGACUUAAAGGUGCCUUAUCAUAAGUGACUGAUGCGGGAUAUGCAAGAAUAGUAGUCUGAUGUAGAAACAGGAACACAUGUCAUAUUCACAGGCAUUAUGUGUAAAGUAAGCAGAUGCGAUUCAACAAAGUUAGAAGCAAUACAAGCUAGACAUCAUAUGCAACAUGCAACCACAUAUAAUAGUGCCAAGUUAGAGCAAGCACCUGUGAUGGUGGAGUAGGGGAGAUGUGCUCAUCAUCUAUACAGCUACAUUGACUAUCUAGCCUUGCGUUGUCUUGCGAAUCUUGUUGGGAGGAUGACGGAGUAGAAUUUGUAGAGAACCUCUGUUUCAGUUGCUCGGAAGGACCACCAUCAUCCAAUGCCUUGCCAAUUUCCUUCAGCUUUAUUGAUUUUGCAUUGUGAGGUCAUACCGACAAGAAAAAGGAAUAUCAUUCGCUCUUCAGAAGUCAUUCAUGCAUGAUACUGACGAACACUACUCUGAUGAAAGGCAAAGUCAUGAUACGAGGAUGGAAUAUGUAUGUAAAAAUGGACGGCUUGACAUAUUCACACCUAUGAUGUGGUAACUAAGAAGAAGGCACUUCAACAAAUUAGAAACACUGCAAGACACCAUAUAGAAGGUGCAAUCAAUAUCACUCUGCCAAGUUAAAACUGUCUGGUCAUAGGUGGCGUUCAUCAAACUAGAAGCAAUACAUGCUAGAAAUCAUAUUCAGGACGCAAACCAAUAUCACACUACCAACUUAAAGGUGUCCCAUCAUAAGUGACUGAUGCAGGAUACACAAGAAGAGUAGUUUCAUGUAAGAACAUAAUAUGAUAGACAGAUAUAGUAUGUACCAAAAACAGGAAAGCGUGUCAUAUUCACAUGUAUCAUGUGUAAGCUAAGCAGAUGCAGUUUACACUAAUUAGGAGCAAUGCGAGCUAGACACCAUAUGCAACAUGCAACCAGAUAUCACACUGCCAAGUUAGAGCAAGCACCUUGGGUGGUGGAGUAGGGGAGCAGAGACUUGGACCUUGUAAUGCACUAUCAGUACAAGGAGAAUCGGUACAGAUGCUCCGUUUACAUUGCUGUAGAGGACCACCAUCAUCGCCUUCCUUACUCUUUUCCUUCCUUUUUCUUUAUGUUGCCUUGUCAAGUCAAACCCACAAGAAAAAGGAAUAAAAUUUGCUCUUCAGAACUUAUUGAUGCAUGAUACUGACGAACACUACUUUCAUGCAAGGCAGCCGCAUGAUAGGAGGAUGGAAUAUGUAUGAAAAACAGGACGACGUGACAUAUUGACAUGUAUGAUGUAUAAAGUGUAAACGAAGCACAAGGUGCUUGAACUUGUUAGAAUCGAUGCAAGCUAGAAACCAUAUGAAAGAUGAAACCAAUAUCACUCUGCCAAAUUAAAAGGGUGCCCUAACAAAUGUAUUUGACCAAAUUAGAAAAAAUACAUGGCAACAUGCUAGAAAUAAUAUGCAAUAUGCAACGAAUAAAGGUGACUCAUCGUAAGUGAUUGAUGCAGGAUACAGAAGAGUGGUAGUUUCAUGUAAGAACAAGGUUAACACAUAGAUGUAGUGUGUACCAAAAAUAGGAAGGCAUGUCAUAUUCACAGGUAUAGUGUGUAAACUAAGAUGCAAUUUACCCUAAUUAGAAGCAUUACAAGCUAGACACCGUAUGCAACAUGCAAUGACAUAUCACACUGCGAAGUUGGAGCAAGCACAUGUGAUGGUGGUGUAGGGGAAGUGCUGUCUUCAAGUAAGAGCAACAUUCAAUAUCUUCAUUUAGGCUUGAUGUUUCUUAAGAAUCAUGUGGAGAGGAUGAAAUUGCAUUCUUUAUAAGAGUAUUGCGUCUCAUAUUAACCCACGCGCGUGACUGUCUCAUCAUAAGCGAUAGACGCAGGAUACACAAGAACAGUAAUUUGAUAUAAGAAUAUUGUGUGAUAGGCAGAUGUAGUAUGUACCAAAACAGGAAGGCGUGUCAUAUUCACACGUAUAAUGUGUAAGCUAAGAAGAUGCAAUUUAACAAAUUAGGAGCAUUGAUGAGGGAUACACAAGAAAAGUAGUUUGAUGUAAGAACAUGGUUAAUAGAAAGACGUAGUAUAUUUCAAAAACAGGAAGGCAUGUCAUAUUCACAUGUAUAAUGUGUUAACUAAGCAGAUGUAAUUUACCCUAAUUAGAAGCAUUAUAAGGUAGACACCAUAUGCAACAUGCAACCACAUAUCACACUGCCAAGUAAGAGCAAGCACCUGCGAUGGUGGUGUGGGGGAAUUGCGGUGAUCAACUAGAGAGCUACGUUGACUAUCUUCAUUUAGCCUUGUUAUUUCUUGAGAAUCAUGUGGGGAGGAUGACACUGCACUCUUUAAACGACUAGGGCAUCUCAUAGUAACCCACCUGGUUGACUGUCUCGUCAUAAGUGAUUGACGAGGGAUACAAAAGAGCAUUAGUUUGAUGUACGAACAUGGUUAAUAGACAUAUGUAGUAUGUAUCAAAAACAGGAAGGCAUGUCAUUAUCAAAGGUAUAAUGUGUAAAGUAACCAGAUGCAAUUUAACCAAAUUGGAAGCAAUACAAGCUAGACACCAUAUGCAACAUGCAACCACAUUUGACAGCGCAAAGUUAAAGCAAGCACCUGGGAUGGUUGUGUGUGGCAAUUGAGAUCAUCAACUACAGAGCUACUUUUACUGUCUCCAACUGCUGACAAUGCACCCAUUAGAGCGCUGAAACGCUUAGUGCUUAUCUUCGAAUUACACUGGAGCGACUUCUGUCUUUUCUUUUCUGCAUUCAUCAACACUGCGUCAGAGUCUGAAAUACCCAUGCAUAAAAAACAAUAGUGUGAGUAUGGGUGAAGUGUGUGCACAAUUAGUACAGUGUAAAGGUAGCAGAUAGCAGGUCGGUGAGAACUAAAUGAUGUGAGACAUAUGAUAGCUGUACAGCAUGCAUGGCACACUCAAUUACUACAGGAUUUUAUGAAAAUAACAGCCGACUGGAAGCAAAUAGGUCAGUCCAUUUUUUCUGCACCGUCCGAUGUACAAAGAAUGGGCUGAUCGCCUUCAUCUACCUUCAGCCAGCCAGUGGUGACUAUCUUCCUCGAAACGCCAGCGACCACCGGCCCAGUAUUCCUCCCCUGCCUGCGCCCUCCCCUCGACCUACCGCACCGCUGUGCUUGGCACCGCCCCCAGCCAUCCAUUCAAGCCCCGCUGACCUCCAGAUCGAGCGCAAGCAGCUCCUGCACCCCACACCCCUAUGAUAGACACCGAUGUGCCGCUUCCCCGGGGAACAGGCGGACUAGGUGCUCCGUGCGCCUAAGCAGGUGCUGCUUCUUUUAAUUGCGGUUCGACUGACCCUGAAUUGAAAUCCAGGCGGGCUACUGACCUCUAGCAAAGGUGAAAUAGUAAAAGGGAGGAAACCUUGUGCAUUUAGUAUCACGAAGAAGAUGCAGUAAGAAGCGCGCAACUAGUUUAUUUUAUGGGAUGAAUACGGUGUGAGCGGAGACGUAAGAUUUGCACGAAUAAGGGAAGAGGAGUACCUCUUUCUGCUGGCAGUGCUGUGUCCUCCUUCUGUUUUUCCGACGAUCUUGUUGUUCGCCGAAAACCAGAAGUUGGAGAGGAUGGUGCAGCCUUGAAAGAACCCAUGGCCAAGUUGAGUGUGGUGCGGUGGCCAUCUGUCGGCGGCGGGGAAGCGGAUCCAAGGCGGCGAACGGCGGCGUAGCGGGAACAGCUCCGGUGCGGUGAACAGUUGCGACAGUGGAGCCACAGCAGUGAGGCGCAGGACGGCAUGGUCAGAGUGGUUCUGGUACGGCGCAUGUCGGCGUCGGCAUCAUGGAGGCAGCUCUGCCUCGGCUUCAGCUGCUAAGUCCUUGAGGGCAUUGCGGUUGCGUUGGACGACAACGUCGGGGUACCAGCUCCAGCGUGAUGGAGGAGGGCGGCAGUGGAUUGGCCGCUAUGGGGUGGAGGACGGAGGAGGCUGGGGUUUCGCGGCUGGUGGUGAGGGCGUUUUCACGUCCAUGGAGUAUGAAUGGGGAAACAGAGGGAGGCGAGGAAGUAAGGGGGAACAAUGUUUCGGUUUGAGACGCGCUUGUUUGAAAUUUGGGGAAAGUUACAAACUUUGCCCCCAUCUAAAAUUUCGGACAUAUUGCGGGUUGGGGGUAGGACAGUCAUGUCAGGUGUCCCAAAUGUGGGCGUUAUAGAUUUCGGCUGAGCACAUGGGUGUUUAGGCGCCCACGGCGUAUGAAUGCUUCUCGGAGGCGGUUGAGACUGGCGUCUUGGUGAAGUUACAAACCUACCCCGGUUUAGACCUUUGGACAUUGGGCCGAUAGGCUACAUGGGCCAGAGUCAGGACAUUAAUUUCCUACCACCAAAACAUUAGUCUCGCGCGGUUUCGGGUGACCAGAGGCCUAUUUGGCGCUUCGUUCAAUAUUUGGGAGCAGAAGCAUUAACGUUUUUGGUUCUCUUGAAUUGAACUUUCAGGAUUUGUCAGACUUCACAAAUCUUCACUCUUGAAAAUCCUAAAGCUACAAUUAUUUUGGAAUGAAGGGGGUACAUUUUAAUAUACAUUGUACAUGAGCAUAUAUUAAAAAAUAUGCAACUUACCUCAGUUCAUGCAUGGUUCCAGAUAUAAUCUCCUUGGUUGCAAAAAAAAGUUAGAUAUGCGUAUGAAUAUAUAUAGCAUGUUCAAACUCACAACAAAGAUUGAUGCCCCUUUUACAUCUGAUUUACAAAUGCCAUUAUCUCGGGUUCAAAUAGAUGAAUGCACUUCCUAUGAAUUCGAAUCGUCGAAACCCCCUUUAUGCUGAAUUCGACAUGUAUUUUAUUUCGUAGCUAGCAAUUUGGAAUGUAUCCAUGCAAGUGACAAAUGUAUAAAGUGCUUCACACUAACAACAUGGAGUGCACUAAUUAAUGUUUAUAUAUGAAUUGCAAAAGCAUCCAUUGCCUGUAUUUCAAACCACUCUCACUCUAUGGAUCGAUAAUAUGAAAUAAACACAUGCACAUGCUAGAAUUCAAUAGAGUAUGGGUGUCUGAUAGACCGAUUUUCGUCCAUAUGCAAUUUUGCAAAAUUCAUGAUCUCAUCCAAAAAUAAUAAUGCCAUUUAUAUUUUAAUUUAAUGUGUAGAACUGCCUUUUACACGUAUAUGCACUAUGCCUCGCCCCGUUCUCACAAACGCGUUAUAUAUCUCUCUAUCUAACGCAUAAGUGCACACACUUUAUAUGCAUCGGCAUUUCUCUUUCACACAUGCUCACAAUCUCUCUCAGGGUGUCACGGUGUCUCACGCACAUGCUCUCUCUGUUUCUCUCUCUUUCUUUCUGACUACUAUGUACCACUCUUUUCACUAAUCUCAGUUGGAAAACACUAUUUCUCUCACAUGCAUAUAUACACAUGCACUGUCUCUACUAGCCCUCUAUAUGCACAUAUAUAUGUGCUGACGUAUCUCCCGCACGCACAUUAUCUUUAGGCCUCUCUCGCACACAUUGCCCCCUGACAAACCUCUCUAAUAGUAGUUGGCAGAUAUGAUUUCAUCAUAUCAUUCAGUAGGAUAUCCCUGGCUGUUAGGCUGGAUGGUAAUACGAGGCAAAGUUUUACCCUAGUUUGGAUCGGACCCUUGCAGUUGAAGAAAGAGCCUACUCCUGGUACUGUAUAUUAGUGAUAGGGGUGUGUACAAAGUGCACGUGAAUACCAGGGAUUGUGCGUGUGUGUAUACUAUCGACGAACUAGCCCCCAAGCUUGUAUAACAUACUAAGGGCCUAGGGUUACAAAUCAUAUACAGUCGGCUUAUCACCAGUGGGGAUAGAGUCCUCCGCAACUCUGGUAGUUUCGUGUUGUACGCCGAGUCCUCCACAUGGGUCUUCGUAUAACACGUCUCGGUCCAACCUAUAUGUGGCAUAGGAUGGAACCGAGCCAUGAGUCUUCAUGUUGACCCACCACAACUAGAAAUGAUGUGCCCACCACACCACACACACAAUCGGCCACUAAGAAAAUAAGCAUAUACAAUAGUACAACAGUAUCUAGCUCACGAUACGUCUCCAUAUUAUGUUGAUGACACUGACGGACUUUGCAUUUGAUGCGUGCUCCAUAUUUUUGACGACACUUACGGUCAUUGUAUUUGAAGCGGAAGCACGAUAUGGUCACUGGACUUCAGAAUAAGCUCAUCACGGUCACCACAUACAUUUUGUCGUGCUAACCAACAUGUGGUUGGAUGGUUAGAGGACAGUGGUUUCUCGAGCCCACCAAGGUUAAAGUCCUGGUGCUUGCAUUUAUCUUGUGUUAAUUUCAAUAUUUUCCGACGAUGUACGUUCAGUGGGAGGAGACGUUCCACUCGACUACGAGGCACCUAUGGUGACUUCGUAAAAUCUCAAGAUCAUAUAUGCUGGCCCACUCUCUCAAAGGUGCUCAUAGGGGUAGGGUUCACGUGUGUGCGCUUAUAGCGGUGAGUGCUUGCGUGUAUAUAUGAGCCCUUGCGUCUGUACCAUGUUAAACAAAUACAUGUCAUGAUUAUACUAUCACUGGCUCACCCGUACAACUCCGUAUUUUGUUGAUGACACAAUCAAUUGACCAGUCAAACGACACAACUAGUGUUGCACCAUUGGGGUGCGUAACCAUGGGGCCCACCUGUCAGCCCGUAUAUGAAAUAAAGAAAUGGUAGUUUGAGUCUGUACUGUGUUAAUAAAAUAGGAGUACAUUUUAGGUUUAUCAUACGGUCACUGGCUCAUCAUACAGCUCCGUAAUUUGUUGAUAACACGAUCAAUUGACCAGUCAAACGGUCCACAUUCAGCAGCACACAUUACCAUAGGGCCCACCCGUCAGCACGUAUAUGAAGGACAUAAAUGGUAAUAAACUAGUGGUCGGUCGAUAUUCGAAGUCGUGAGACCUCUGGUUGGCAGUCACCGGCAGUUGGGGGGCGUUCAUUGGGAGGUGGGGUNNNNNNNNNNNNNNNNNNNNNNNNNNNNNNNNNNNNNNNNNNNNNNNNNNNNNNNNNNNNNNNNNNNNNNNNNNNNNNNNNNNNNNNNNNNNNNNNNNNNNNNNNNNNNNNNNNNNNNNNNNNNNNNNNNNNNNNNNNNNNNNNNNNNNNNNNNNNNNNNNNNNNNNNNNNNNNNNNNNNNNNNNNNNNNNNNNNNNNNNNNNNNNNNNNNNNNNNNNNNNNNNNNNNNNNNNNNNNNNNNNNNNNNNNNNNNNNNNNNNNNNNNNNNNNNNNNNNNNUUCGGGGAGCGCGGGCCGGCUGCGGGCGGCGGGGGCGGGCGGUUCGACGGGUGGUGGCUGGCCGCUCAGGGGGGGUGGAGUUUGAUGAUAAACCGGAGGCCCUUGAUUUCGUAUCCAACGGAUGGAAAAUCUAAUGACCAGAGAUAAAAAAGUCAGUCGACUGACGUGUAGCCUCACCCCGCACGUACACAUGCAUGCAUGCAAGACACGCACGCAUGUAGGCGUGCUACACUGACACGUACACAUAACGUACACACGCACGCAUGCUGGCAUGCAACACUGACACAUACACAUGCACUCAUGAACACACGCACGUACGCACCCAUGCAUGCAACACUGAAACGCACCCUUGCACGCACGCAACACUCGCACGCCUGCAUGCACACAGCACAGGACGCAAGACACACGCUCAACCUAUACGUGCAUGCACCCUUUGUUAAGGACAUGGAUUGUUAUGGGUAUUAAUCAAUCUUAUCUGUGAUAAGCAGAACAUUGAUGUUUGCAUCAGUUUUUAUGAAUCACAACGUAUCGAACGGGCUAUAAACAUAGUAGGCUUAACUACAUGAAAAAGAUGACGUCACACUAAAUGAACAAUCAUCGGUUUAUGAAAUGCCCGCUUCUGACCGCCCUGGCCCACCAAAGGUUCCUCUGCUGUGCGCUGCUUGCGUUGGGUCACUGACAUGCAGGCCAUGCACCCAAAGAGCCCACACGUCAGUGGAAGAACGGCGUGGUGUCCUAGGUCAGAGUUGAGGGUGCCACUCGUGGCACACCCAGCUGAACACGCCUCCGUGCCGCAUUCAAACGCCUCCAUGAAACCCGCCCGUGUGGAAGCCGAGAAACCCACUCUGGACACACGUCCAUUCAUGACCGGGCCGGCGUUAAACGCAAUGCCGUCCGAGCUCCUCCCGUCCACUGUCUAUUCAAUCUCUUAUUUAAACGAGGCCAAACACCGGCCAAGAAUCGCACACCUCCGCCGCUCCCCUAUCUCCUCCACCAUUUUGUCCACUCUUACAAUGGCUUAGGAAGAGUAGUUAUUCAGCAUCCAAGCCGGUUGGGUAGCCCGCCGGAUACGAGCUAUGCAGCUCGCUGAUCAACCUCCCUUCCCUCGCCCGACGGAGCCAGUUGCCGCCCCAAGCCGGCGCGCGGUUCAGCAACUCGCCGCUCCAGGCCAGCUCGACGAGGAGCGGCGCAUGGGCGUCGUUGUUGCCGUCCACGCCGCCGCCUCGUACCGCGUCUCCCAUUUCUGUGGCCGAGACUCCCAUGCCGGCGGCCGCGCCAUGCAAGCAGUGAUAGAAGCCGGGUGCGCAGAGAGCGGCGAGUCGGUGGCCAGCGCCUCCGCGUCCGCUGCCAUCAUCAAGGAGAAGUAGAACAUGGGAGGCCGCCGCCGCUUGGGUCCCAUGAAGGCCACCACGGAGGCGACGCCGGCAUACACAGCAGGUGUCUUGCCUGAUCCUUUUGUUACGAGGACCUUCGUCGACCCCGCAUGGGCUCCAUGGAAGAGGGGAAUGUUAGGAUGAACUCGAGCUGGUGCCGGCCAUGGCGAAGUAGUGGCCGGUGAUGAACUCGAACCGGUGCCGGCCACCAUCAUCUUUGGCACCAGCCAAUGAUAUCAGUUGGGCAGUGGGGAAGUGAGCCGUCCUUUGCGCUGAAGCAUAUACCUCCGGGGCUCCCGGCAGUCCGGUGAUCGUGCUGCCGGACAUGAGGAACACAAAUUGAUCGGCGGGCGACCAUUUAGGCCAGGUAUUAUAUACCUGUGCUGUCCAGAACUAGCACCGCGUAGUUCAUUUGAAUGUAAUGAAAUCUGUCAUGUUUGUGUGAAAAUUCGGUGUUUUAUAUGAUUUCCGUCGUUGUUUAUAUGAAAUAUCAGUUUGUCUACGUGUUUGCGUGAAUUUCGUCCGGUUGGUUGAGUUGCUGUCAUAAUGUGUAAUUUGCGGGUCGCUAGUCGAUCUGCGGGCGGCUCGGGCGGUGUUGUGGGACAAAAAAACACAGCUCGUGUGAGCUCUUCUCCAACGUGUGCGCUGGAGGAUGCAUGACAGCAUGAGCACCCGAGCCAUUCCUCGUUCAUCGGUGGACAAAAGUGUCGCCAAUAUUUUGGCUACCCCAGGCAAGAUCCAAACAGCCCCUCCCAACAGAUUCAAAUCCCUCGUUCGCCAUGGAAUUUUGCCAUGUGUUGUUUUCAUGGACUAGCAACAUGCCCGUGCAUUGCACGGAACAUCAAGAUGCAUUUUUUUACAAACUCCCGCAUGCAUGCAAGGGAUAAUUAAUGUCCUUCUUUGCUAGUACCACGAGGCAAACACCAUUAAUAUUGCAUCGAUUAGUGUUAGUGGCCUUGUAUAUCUGCAAAUUGUAAUUUUGAUAGUGGCCCCUUGUAUAUAAAAAUGGAGGGAGAAAUAUGAGAGAUAAGGUGAGGAGGAGUGGGGCGUGGUGCCGUGGUGGUGACUAGUGGUCGGACUGGGCGGAGGCAUGGGGAUGGACGGCGCAUUAUGUCUAGGUUUGUAUCUCUCUCACACACACCCACGUAGGUGGGGGACGUGCACGAAGAGAAGUGGUGCACGCACGGCGCACGUACUACCGUCUCUUUCCCAACCACAUCCGUGCGGGUACACGGUGGAGCUCAUUUCUGUACGAAAAAGGCAGCCCACUUGGUAAUUUUGCACAUGUACUAGUUGUCCACUUGGUGGAGGGAGGAUCAUCUAUAACAAAUUGCGACUUGACGUGUUAUGUUAAAUUAAAAAAGAGUCAAACCAUGUGGGGCCUACCUUAGAGGCAAGGCUGUAUACACUGGAGUACUUUUGAUGUGUCCCGUCAACUCGCAGAACGAGGAGAAGCUUGCUUAGCACGCCGUCUCCCCCGCCCACGGGCGCCGUGGCUCGCAAGAUGAGGUGAAGCUUACUACUGCUGUACGCCUUUACGCCCACUCCCUCGCCCACGCGCGCGGUGGCUCGCAGCACGACGAGAAAAUUUUACUACUCCCUCCGUUUACUCCCCGUCCCUACUACGUACUUUGGUUAGUACUCCCUUCAUUUACUUAUACAAGGCCACUAUAGAAAAAUACAUUUUGCAUCUAUACAAGGCCACAAAUAGUAAUCGAGACAAAAGUUACUACUCCCUCCUUUCUAGGU
rnacentral:lncRNA from 1 species